rnacentral:rRNA from 1 species
ACAUGCAAGUCGAACGGUAACAGGAAGAAGCUUGCUUCUUUGCUGACGAGUGGCGGACGGGUGAGUAAUGUCUGGGAAACUGCCUGAUGGAGGGGGAUAACUACUGGAAACGGUAGCUAAUACCGCAUAACGUCGCAAGACCAAAGAGGGGGACCUUCGGGCCUCUUGCCAUCGGAUGUGCCCAGAUGGGAUUAGCUAGUAGGUGGGGUAACGGCUCACCUAGGCGACGAUCCCUAGCUGGUCUGAGAGGAUGACCAGCCACACUGGAACUGAGACACGGUCCAGACUCCUACGGGAGGCAGCAGUGGGGAAUAUUGCACAAUGGGCGCAAGCCUGAUGCAGCCAUGCCGCGUGUAUGAAGAAGGCCUUCGGGUUGUAAAGUACUUUCAGCGGGGAGGAAGGGAGUAAAGUUAAUACCUUUGCUCAUUGACGUUACCCGCAGAAGAAGCACCGGCUAACUCCGUGCCAGCAGCCGCGGUAAUACGGAGGGUGCAAGCGUUAAUCGGAAUUACUGGGCGUAAAGCGCACGCAGGCGGUUUGUUAAGUCAGAUGUGAAAUCCCCGGGCUCAACCUGGGAACUGCAUCUGAUACUGGCAAGC